UGUACUUUGUCCCUCCUUUCUGUAUAAAAUAGAGGAAGAAAAAAAUACAUUAGGCUUUAGAGACGUAAAAUUAUUAACAGAAACAACAAGCAAUUUUACUGUUUAAAGGCAUCUCUCUCAUGCAUUUCUAUUACGAAGACAUUCUCCUAAUCUAUGUCAUUCCUUACAUUUCAAGAAAUGUUUUCUGGGUCCCAAUUUCCCAUUUGGCACAGGAGCAACGCGGCCCGUGGUAGACGGCAGUCAGUGAAUAGCUCUGGAUCCUGGAGCACGCGGUCCUGGCCACCCUCUCCCACCCACACACCCAUACGCACCCUUGAAUCUAGAAGACAGGAAUUGGAGAGCGUGGCCCCAGCUCCUUACCCUCCUGUGUGAAGUGGCUUCAGGACAGACGUGUGAUGGUAAAGAUGACAUUUUUCAAAUCCCUUUGGCCAUGUGACUACGUUCUGGCUAAUGAGAUGGCAGCAGAAGUGGGAUGCAGGACUUCUAGGAAGUUUCCUUCCUAGGAGGGAAAGAGGAAAAAACACAUCUUUCAUUUUGAAAAGGGUGUCCUUAUUCAAGGUAACAAAAACCAGCUGGAGAAUAUGGAAUGUCUUAACGACACUGAGGCUGCUGCUGAGAUAGAGCGGCUGCCCUUUCUUGGCCCCAGCAGGGACCUGCAUUUGAGUCGAGUCAUGAUGGGUCCAAGGUCAGAAACGGAACUUCAGAGUCCGAGGAACAGUAUUUUCAUCGGUUCACCUAGUUAUGAUUGGGAUUUAAAGGGCAAAUUCAUAUCAAUAAAAGCCCACGGAAUGAUUAAUCCUACUGGAAGUUGAUAGCAGAAUGGAACAGUAUGUUCGUGCCUCUUGAUCACGACCCAUAUCGUUGAUCCUCUGGACGUUAUUCUUAUUUUGCAUCCUUCUACCUUGCAUGCGGGCCCCUGUUGAAUGUUUGUACUGGAUGCUGUUCUGAAAUGCUCUAUGAAUGAGCACUCUGACACCAGAUCCAGGAUUUACAUUCUAGUUUCCUUACUUUCAAGCCGUAUGAGCUGGACAGGUUACUGCCUAGCUCUCUAUAAGCCUCCAUUUCAUUCUUAAUAUGGGAAUAAUAAUAGUAACAUGGUUAUUGUGAAGCUAAAAUGCAAAGAUGCCUGAAAGCAAUAAACACAGAGCCAGACACAUAAUAAAUAUUUAAAAUUUUUGCUUAAUUUGUUGCCAUACGUAUUUAUCUUUUGAAGGAGAUAAGAAGACUCUCCUCCUCCCACCUGAUUAUUACCAGCAGCAUUAGAUGUUACCUCUUGGGAUGGGAAUCUCUAAUGAUGACCAUCUUCUACAAUAUUAAUUCUUAUCAAUCUCUGAAAUUGGAGCUAAAUUCUCUUGAACUUGUCUCAAAAUAAUAGUGUGUCCUAUGCGUCUGGAGGUGAAUACAUGCUUGUCUUCCAUCCAGAUAAAGAAUAGCACUAAGGGACAGCUGAUUUCUACACAUUAUCUCUAACAGUUCCACCAAAUGGCUACUUUGUUUGCAAUUUCUCAUGAGUGGAAGCCAACAUGGGCAGUCAGAGUCUAUAUAUGAAAAAUUCUAACAGAUUCUGAGAGGUGGAGUUAUUAUUAUUUUUUUACCAU